rnacentral:tRNA from 1 species
GCCCUCGUGGUGUAGUAGUUAGCACACCCGUCCAGCAAACGGGAGAUGUUAGGUUCGAUUCCUUACCAAGACG